rnacentral:piRNA from 1 species
UGGCUUCUUUGUGGUUAUCUAUUCCCUAA